UACAGAGGUCUCAAGCGUUGUUCGGAUUCAUUGGGCGUAAAGGGUGCGUAGGCGGCGCGGUAAGUCGGGUGUGAAAUCUCGGAGCUCAACUCCGGAAUUGCCAUUGAAACUGUUUGGCUCGAGUACGAGAGAGGUGAGUGGAAUUCCCAGUGUAGAGGUGAAAUUCGUAGAUAUUGGGAAGAACACCGGUGGCGAAGGCGGCUCACUGGCUCGUAACUGACGCUCAUGCACGACAGCGUGGGGAUCAAACAGG
rnacentral:rRNA from 1 species